rnacentral:lncRNA from 1 species
CCCACUGAAUUUAUAGUGUCUCCUUAAGGAAUUUAAUCCGCUUCUAGCACCUAAGGUGAUGGAUUAUCUCCUCUCAGGAUCGAACGAAUUAAAUACAGGUGUAGUGGUACUCUAAACACCAGUAUUUCAGUGAACACAAAGAUCAGUAGUAAAUCACCAUACUUUUUGCUUUGUUUGUAUGAAAGUAUGCAGAAGAAGGAGAGAAA